UUUUUUUUUUUUUCUGUUUUUUUCUAAUGUUGGUUUUGUGGAUAAUUUUUUAGUGGAAUUUUCUUUUAGGGUUGAUCCAAAUUUUAUAGUGAUUAUGUGGUGUGUUAUCCUGUGUAUCGUUGGAUGUAACUGGCUCUUGAAUUGGAUGAUUAUGUUGUUUGUUAUGAUCAGGUGCUGAGGGCCUUAUCUGUUAAAUAUUAUCCCUCAUAUUAAUUAUAUAAGUUUUAAUUGUAUUUUAUUCAGGUUAUAUAUGUGAUUACUUGCAAAAAGUAUGAAAUUGUCAUGGUGUAGCAAAGUUAUAAGAUGUUGCUUUCUGUGUGUGUUUGGGUUUUUUUUCCCUGUUCUUUUGUUUGAUCUCUUUUAUCUUCUGAGCUUUGAUUUUCUUUGGAAGCAAAGAUAUGACCUUUUAGAAGCUUCAAAUAUGUAGCAUAAACAAGAUUUUUGGUGAGGAAAGCUCAUCUUAUCACACUAUAAAUAUUACUGUCUGGGGCAAGUUCUUAUCGUUAUUCAUGCAGUAGAUCUUGUGGGUUUUGCGUAUGAUCAAUUAAAAUAUACCACUAUAUAGCAAUUAUGUUAGAGGGUUACUUUUGCUAAUUUCUGUUCUUCACAAUUCACCUUGUUUGUAGCAUAUCCAAGUGUACAAACAAGUAAACCUCUUAAAUUUUUUGCAUGUUAUGAACAAGUGUAUUUAGCUCCUUGGAUGUUGUGUUUUUUCGAUAUUAGAUAUAUUGCUUCUCUUAUGAGUUCCUUCAGGGUAUCUGUUUUCUUAAUACUGCCAAAAACUUUAGGCUCUUGUUAUAGAAAAAGUCUGACCUGGAAUUAUUUUGUAAAUUAUGAUCUUUAAUGCACUAAUUUUAAUGGAAGUGAUAGCUAAGAGUAAGAGAUUCACUCAUGACCCGUCAAUAGUUUCUCUUCUGUCUCUAGAAAUUGCCACAAGGGACAGAAUUGUGACCUUCACUAACUUUUACAACCUACAUCUUUCUAUUAAAACACAGAAUGGUAACUUAGGACAUUCAGCAUUUAUGUGGAAAAAACUCUCCUUUUCUUCCCUUUUGUGGUUUUUUUUUCUCUAUGCAUUAUGAUACUAUUCUUUUCGUUAAAGUUCCUUCUAACAGCUUGUAGUUUUCUAUUUCUGUAG
rnacentral:misc_RNA from 1 species